GACGAACGCUGGCGGCGUGCCUAAUACAUGCAAGUCGAACGAACUCUGGUAUUGAUUGGUGCUUGCAUCAUGAUUUACAUUUGAGUGAGUGGCGAACUGGUGAGUAACACGUGGGAAACCUGCCCAGAAGCGGGGGAUAACACCUGGAAACAGAUGCUAAUACCGCAUAACAACUUGGACCGCAUGGUCCGAGUUUGAAAGAUGGCUUCGGCUAUCACUUUUUGG
rnacentral:rRNA from 1 species